CCAUGUUAUGAUGAAUGGCUCAAUAUGUUCAACUGCUCUGAAGUGUGAGUGACAGCAGCCUUGACUGAACCUGC
rnacentral:snoRNA from 1 species